rnacentral:tRNA from 1 species
GCCGGGGUGGCGGAACUGGUAGACGCACAGGACUUAAAAUCCUGUUCCGCUGUAAAGCGGAGUGCGGGUUCGACCCCCGCCCUCGGCACCA